GAUGAACGCUGGCGGCGUGCCUAAUACAUGCAAGUCGAGCGAACAGACGAGGAGCUUGCUCCUCUGACGUUAGCGGCGGACGGGUGAGUAACACGUGGAUAACCUACCUAUAAGACUGGGAUAACUUCGGGAAACCGGAGCUAAUACCGGAUAAUAUAUUGAACCGCAUGGUUCAAUAGUGAAAGACGGUUUUGCUGUCACUUAUAGAUGGAUCCGCGCCGCAUUAGCUAGUUGGUAAGGUAACGGCUUACCAAGGCAACGAUGCGUAGCCGACCUGAGAGGGUGAUCGGCCACACUGGAACUGAGCCACGGUCCAGACUCCUACGGGAGGCAGCAGUAGGGAAUCUUCCGCAAUGGGCGAAAGCCUGACGGAGCAACGCCGCGUGAGUGAUGAAGGUCUUCGGAUCGUAAAGCUCUGUUAUUAGGGAAGAACAAAUGUGUAAGUAACUAUGCACGUCUUGACGGUACCUAAUCAGAAAGCCACGGCUAACUACGUG
rnacentral:rRNA from 1 species